rnacentral:rRNA from 1 species
CAGUAGCCGCGGUAAUACGAGGGGGGCAAGCGUUGUUCGGAAUUAUUGGGCGUAAAGGGCGCGUAGGCGGUUUGGCAAGUUUGGUGUGAAAUCUUCGGGCUCAACUCGAAGUCUGCAUCGAAAACUGCCGGGCUUGAGUAUGGGAGAGGUGAGUGGAAUUUCCGGUGUAGCGGUGAAAUGCGUAGAUAUCGGAAGGAACACCUGUGGCGAAAGCGGCUCACUGGACCAUUACUGACGCUGAUGCACGAAAGCUAGGGGAGCAAACAGGAUUAGAUACCCCUGUAGUCCCUGUCUCUUAUAC